rnacentral:rRNA from 1 species
AGAUUGAACGCUGGCGGCAUGCCUUACACAUGCAAGUCGAACGGCAGCACGGGAGCAAUCCUGGUGGCGAGUGGCGAACGGGUGAGUAAUACAUCGGAACGUGCCCAAUCGUGGGGGAUAACGCAGCGAAAGCUGUGCUAAUACCGCAUAAGAUCUACGGAUGAAAGCAGGGGAUCGCAAGACCUUGCGCGAAUGGAGCGGCCGAUGGCAGAUUAGGUAGUUGGUGAGGUAAAGGCUCACCAAGCCUUCGAUCUGUAGCUGGUCUGAGAGGACGACCAGCCACACUGGGACUGAGACACGGCCCAGACUCUACGGGAGCAGCAGUGGGGAAUUUGGACAAUGGGCGAAAGCCUGAUCAGCCAUGCCGCGUGCAGGAUGAAGGUCCUUCGGGUUAGUAAACGUGUCGUUUUUGUAACGGAACGUAAAAGUCUUACUUUACCUAAAUAAAGAGGAAUACGAUAGACGGUAACCGUAAGAAUAA